rnacentral:rRNA from 1 species
UGGUGGAGUGAUUUGUCUGGUUAAUUCCGUUAACGAACGAGACCUCGACCUGCUAAAUAGCCCGGCUCACCCUCCGGGGUGGGUGCGCGGCUUCUUAGAGGGACUAUCGGUGCGUAGCCGAUGGAAGUUCGAGGCAAUAACA